GGAUCAGUAGGUCGGUCAUGCCUCUGGUAUGUACUGGCCUCACUGGUUCCUCCUUCCUGAUGAACUGUAAUGCCAUUAAUUUGGUGUUGCGGGGAGACUGGACUGUUACUUUGAAAAAAUUAGAGUGUUUAAAGCAGGCUUACGCUUGAAUACAUUAGCAUGGAAUAAUGAAAUAGGACGUUCGAUCCUAUUUUGUUGGUUUCUAGGAUUGACGUA
rnacentral:rRNA from 1 species